UUACGACCACAUCACGUUGAAACACCACUUCCAGUACGAUUACCGAAGUUAAGUAACGUAGAGCCUGUUCAGUACCUAGAUGGGUGACCGCUUGGGAAUACUAGAUGCUGUAUA